UUGGAUGCGUUGGGUCUUCGUUGCUGCGCGCGGACUUUCUCUAGUUGCGCUUCACGGGAUCAUACCUCUGUGAAGAACAAGCCCCGUGAGCCCACAGACAGAUUCAGGUGCAAAACUGAAUGCCCUUACUUCGGCCAUGGGAGUGAGCCAUGGUGGACAUCCAGCCCAGAUGACCCACUGGUGGCUGCAGCCCCAGUCACUACCUGACUGCAACUCUGUGAGAGACCCCAAAUGAGAGCCACCCAGCUGAGCCCAAUCAAACCACAGAAGAUUGAGAGAUAAUAAUAAAUAUUUGUAUUAAGGUGCUGAGUUUGGAGAUAUCUUGAUACACAUCUAUGGGUAAUGAGCAAGAAAGGAACAAAACCAGAAUCUAAAGACUGGGGUCAGUUUCACUCUAAUGCGGUUGUGGUUAGCCUAUUGCUAAGCUUGAUAAUCGCCUGCCCACUUGGAGGUUUCCAGGGUCUGCAUAUUAUGGAAGUGCUCAGUUUGCCUGUACCACCUCAUUGACCAUAUUCAAGGGCCAAACUGCUGCACAUAGAAUAUGAAUCAAGACACCUGAUCCUAAGACAUUUCCCUUCAACGUUUUUUUAAAGGAAGGAAAAGCAUCUUUGCUAUAGUUUUUUUGUUUUUUUGUUUUUCCUGUGGUACG